ACCGCGUGAGGGAGGAAGGCUCUUGGGUCGUAAACCUCUUUUCUCAGGGAAGUAAAAAAUGACGGUACCUGAGGAAUAAGCAUCGGCUAACUCCGUGCCAGCAGCCGCGGUAAUACGGAGGAUGCAAGCGUUAUCCGGAAUGAUUGGGCGUAAAGGGUCCGCAGGUGGAACUGAAAGUCUGCUGUUAAAGAAUCUGGCUCAACCAGAUAAAAGCAGUGGAAACUACAGAACUAGAGUACGUUCGGGGCAGAAGGAAUUCCUAGUGUAGCGGUGAAAUGCGUAGAUAUUAGGAAGAACACCGGUGGCGAAAGCGUUCUGCUAGGCCGUAACUGACACUGAGGGACGAAAGCUAGGGGAGCGAAUGGGAUUAGAUACCCCAGUAGUCCUAGCUGUAAACGAUGGAUACUAGGCGUGGCUUGUAUCGACCCGAGCCGUGCCGUAGCUAACGCGUUAAGUAUCCCGCCUGGGGAGUACGCACGCAAGUGUGAAACUCAAAGGAAUUGACGGGGGCCCGCACAAGCGGUGGAGUAUGUGGUUUAAUUCGAUGCAACGCGAAGAACCUUACCAAGGCUUGACAUCCUGCGAAUCUUUCUGAAAGGAGAGAGUGCCUUCGGGAGCGCAGAGACAGGUGGUGCAUGGCUGUCGUCAGCUCGUGUCGUGAGAUGUUGGGUUAAGUCCCGCAACGAGCGCAACCCUCGUUUUUAGUUGCCAGCAUUAAGUUGGGCACUCUAGAGAGACUGCCGGUGACAAACCGGAGGAAGGUGAGGAUGACGUCAAGUCAGCAUGCCCCUUACGCCUUGGGCUACACACGUACUACAAUGCUACGGACAAAGGGCAGCUACACAGCGAUGUGAUGCAAAUCUCAUAAACCGUAGCUCAGUUCAGAUCGAAGGCUGCAACUCGCCUUCGUGAAGGAGGAAUCGCUAGUAAUUGCAGGUCAGCAUACUGCAGUGAAUUCGUUCCCGGGCCUUGUACACACCGCCCGUCACACCAUGGAAGUUGGUCACGCCCGAAGUCAUUACCCCAACCGAAAGGAGGGGGAUGCCGAAGGUAGGACUGGUGACUGGGGUGAAGUCGUAACAAGGUAGCCGUACCGGAAGGUGUGGCUG
rnacentral:rRNA from 1 species